UGCGCAGAAUACGUCCUCUGUAAGAAGAUGGACUUAGUUUAGUGAAUAAUUUGAAAAGCCAAGAGAAUAAGAUGUAUAUAUACUGGUAACAUAUGAGAGAAAAAAUAUAAAGUCACUGUUCAGCUACAACAGAAAGUAUGUUACAGUAUGAUAUUAAAAUGUCUGAUAAAUGCUCGUAAAGAAUCCAUUCAGUCACGAUGGAGUUCAAACCCAGAAGCUUCUCUCUGUGAGGUGAAGAUAAUGUUGAAACGUUACCGCCGUCAGUCCUGUGUGUGUGUCAGACGUGGGUGUAUCCUCGAGGUUAUCCGGCGGGCAGCAACCAGCACGGACGUCUGGUUAAAUCAGACCUCCACACAUCCAGAAGCCUCAUCAAAACCCAUUUCUCACCCGCACAAAAACGUGUGACUCAUACUCAGCCGUCAGCCCCCAUCUUCCACCGCAGACUGGAAAAACUUCAUCUGCUCACAAGUCACCUCACAUCAGCCCCCGACUCACUGAAUCAAACGCUCCUCCUGCUGCUCGCUGUAAUGUGCUUUCAUCACUUUAAAACAUGUCUUCAAAACUCUCAUUAGCAUCUAUUGUUCUCUUACUGCAGAGUUUGCUUUUAACUUUUGCCAUCAUGAGUCAUCUUCAGUAAAACUUCAUCCAGUAUUGAGGCAGACCAGCCUCUGACUGCACAGACAUACUUUAUAAAACUCAGGAAAGAUAAUAAUACUGUAUUUGAAAUUACUUGCUAGAUAUUCAUAACAGCAGAUGUGCUGUGCAAGUGCUGCAUUAUUGUUUUUAGCUUAUAUGUUGCUAAGCUAACGAGUUUAAGUGUUUCUGUUAGAGUUAAUUAGUCUUUAAAGUUUUUUAGUUUUAAUAAACCGAGUCUAACUUAUUUGAGGUGUUUCUGUGAACUCGUGUGACGUGUUCUGGAGGAAGUUAAUUCCUGAAAGCAUUUCAUGAUGUUUGUAAUGCAGAAACAAAGCGGGAGCUGGUUGCAGCAGCUGUUCAUGAGUUCAAACUUGAAGUGUUACGACCCGGUCUCGGGGGAAACCUGGCGCAACAUUAAAGAUGAGACUCUUCUCUUCCCAGCUCCCAAAAACCACCAGCAACACAGGAUUUGCAGCCUUUUAAAGGUUUAUAUUAAAAUCUUUUUAGCUUCAGGGUAGGUUAGCAGCAAAACAAUUACUAAAGCUGAAAAUUACCUACUGAAACAAAAUAAUAAAACACUAACCUCCUAGUGUAGCAGAAACAGGAGAAAAUAGAAUUAAACAACAGUGCAACCAACCCCAACUAAACCUGGGCUGAUACAUCACGUUAGCAGAUCCAGAUACAACAUUUCACACUGACACAUGUUGGUUGGAGAGUCGAGAGCUCGGAGGCUGGAACCAAUCAACUCCCCGGAACCACCUACACACUCACACAGUCACAACCGUUCAAUCAGACAAUCAGCCGAGCUCACCUGCAGCCAUCACACACACACACACACACACACACACACACACACACACACACACACACACACACACACACACACACAGCAGCACCACAGCAGGAUCACCAGAGAGAGGGACACAGAUCCACAACACAUGAACAGAGGGGAUUAAAGUACAAACACAAAUACAUAGACAUUUAUAGACACAUUUUCUCUUAUUUUGACACUGAUUAAUCGAGAAAAUACUCAGCAGAUUGAUCGAUAAUGAAGUUAGUUGCAGAUGUAAUAUGGAAUAUGGCCACAGAAAAAAAACACAAAAUACCUCAAAUUACAAAACAUUACUGCAAUAACUCUGGACUAAGUGACCAAAUAAUGUCAGUUAGCUUAGCAUAAUGAGAUAUUUUCCUCUCACAGUAAACU